rnacentral:rRNA from 1 species
UAACCUGGGGAAACUCGGGCUAAUACCGCAUACGUUUGCGAGAUCAUGGUCUCGUCAAGAAAGCUGGCCUCUGCUUGCAUGCUAGCACUCCCAGAGGAGCCCGCGGCUGAUUAGCUAGUUGGUGAGGUAAUGGCUCACCAAGGCGACGAUCAGUAGCCGGCCUGAGAGGGUGAUCGGCCACACUGGGACUGAGACACGGCCCAG